AUUGAACGCUGGCGGCAGGCCUAACACAUGCAAGUCGAGCGGAGCGGCGGACGGGUGAGUAAUACCUAUGAAUCUGCCAGAUAGUGGGGGAUAAGGUUCGGAACCGGACGCUAAUACUGCUUACUAUCGGAUGCGCAUAGGUCGGAUUAGCUAGUUGGUGAGGUAAUGGCUCACCAAGGCCACGAUCCGUAACUGGUCUGAGAGGAUGAUCAGUCACACUGGAACUGAGACACGGUCCAGACUCCUACGGGAGGCAGCAGUGGGGAAUAUUGGACAAUGGGCGAAAGCCUGAUCCAGCCAUGCCGCGUGUGUGAAGAAGGUCUUCGGAUUGUAAAGCACUUUAAGUUGGGAGGCGUUACCGACAGAAUAAGCACCGGCUAACUCUGUGCCAGCAGCCGCGGUAAUAC
rnacentral:rRNA from 1 species